GACGAACGCUGGCGGCGUGCCUAAUACAUGCAAGUAGAACGCUGAAGGGAGAGCUUGCUCUUCUGGAUGAGUUGCGAACGGGUGAGUAACGCGUAGGUAACCUGCCUGGUAGCGGGGGAUAACUAUUGGAAACGAUAGCUAAUACCGCAUAACAUUGACUAUUGCAUGAUAGUCAAUUGAAAGGUGCAAAUGCACCACUACCAGAUGGACCUGCGUUGUAUUAGCUAGUUGGUGGGGUAACGGCUCACCAAGGCGACGAUACAUAGCCGACCUGAGAGGGUGAUCGGCCACACUGGGACUGAGACACGGCCCAGACUCCUACGGGAGGCAGCAGUAGGGAAUCUUCGGCAAUGGACGGAAGUCUGACCGAGCAACGCCGCGUGAGUGAAGAAGGUUUUCGGAUCGUAAAGCUCUGUUGUAAGAGAAGAACGAGUGUGAGAGGGAAAGUUCACA
rnacentral:rRNA from 1 species